rnacentral:lncRNA from 1 species
CGACGUACGCCCCGCGUACGCGGGAACGCCCCGCGUACUCCGGAAGUGUCGACACUUCGGAUGACGCAUGCAGUGACGAUUCGGAGCCCUGUACGCCCCGCGUACAGGCGUACGCCCCGCGUUCGUGCGAGGGUCCAGCACUAUAAAAGGGGAUCCGAAGGCAGCCAAAAUUCUUGUUCAUUUCUUCUCUUCUCUCUAGUCUUUUGCAUCGUUUUGCGUGCCGAAUCCACCCCGAAGCCCCGGUAUCAUACUCUAGCCCCGAGGCAAGUCCCGAGACCCCGAAGAUCCCGAGAAGUGCGGUUCCCGAGUCGAAGCUCUGCCCGCGAGAAGUUCGAUUUUUGAGGAGAUCUUCCAGAUCUGCUGUGGAUUACUACUUCUGCAAGUCGUAGUGCUGUCCGAUCAUCUUCUGAUCAAGUGAGUGUAUACUACCUUUCAUAAACACGAUAAUAAUACGAGUUUGGUUCGAGUGUAUUAAGUAUAUUGUUGUUUAUAAGUGUGAGUGUGUAGUUAUUUUCUUCCAAAUACAAUAAUACGAAGUAUUAUAUAUAAAAUACGUGCUAUGUGUAUAUAUUUGGUUGUGUUAUGUGUGAAUGUGUAUUCACUCUCUUCUAUCUUAUAGAUCUGCUUAUUUCUUUAUGAGAUAUGUGUUAUGUGUGUGUGUGCCUCAUCUGUUAUGUGAUAUAUGUGUUGAUUAAAGCAUGCUAUACAGGUUUUCUUUAAACUAUGUAUACAAAUGUAUAUUUUUAUCUACUAAUAUGUUGGGUAGAACAUGGGUAGACAGUUGGUGUGUAAUAAACAGAUGAGAGGCCUCGUUGUUGUUUGAUUGAGUCAUCUAGCGGAGUUUAGAUGACGACCACUGGCUAUUCUAGACAGUCUUGUGGAAACAUUAGCAGGUUCGCCACCUGUAGGUGUUAAUGAACUUGGGUGUUCAUUCGCUGUACUCCAUCCCCCUCAUGGUUGCCUUAUUUGACUUAUAUUGCUGAGGUACCCCCGAAGCAUGUGUUGUCGCCCCGAUGAAAUAUUCUUAGACUAGGUCCCUUAUGUUAGUUGUUUUAGGGACAUUAAAGUGAGAAUAACGGGAAUGGGUAAUUGGGUUAUUGUUGGUUGGUGAAAAUUAAAUAUGAUAUUUAUUGUGGGUUGAAAACCCUAUAUGCUCACCAGGCUCCCAAGCCUGACCCACUCAGUUUUAAAUUGUAUUACAGGUAGUGGCGGAAGGGCAUGAGAUGGAUGAACCAUCAAGUUGUUUUGUUUACAAGUCUGCAUAUGUUUAUAUUUGUUAUAUGACUUGUAAUGUAUUCGUUUAUGCUUAUUGGUCUGUAUCGGAACAUGACACCCCGAGUUUUGAUUAUAAUGAAAAUACAUUUCUUUUAUGAAAUGCUUCGGUAAACAAUGUUUUAUCAUGUUUUGUUUUUGGGAACAAAUUCCGCAACUCUUUCAAAUCAAAAGGAUUUACUCUGAAAAUAUUUAAAAGCAUAAAUGAAAAUCGGUCUUUUCUGGCCGAGAUUUUGGGGAUGUCACAGUUGGUAUCAGAGCAUUAGUUUAAGCGAACUAGGAAUUUGUAGGAUUUCUAGACUUAAACUUAGAAUGCUAAGUGAAGUUUUGAGAUGUGUGUCUGUUGUGAUUUAGACACGAGCACUAGUUUAUUUUAGGAAAGUUGCCUAAAAUGCUUUAUGUGCUAAAUGUUAUAUGUUGCCAUAUAUGAUAUUAUUUGUUCGGAUCUAUGGUCUGUUGCCGACCGGAUCUAGAAACCUUAUGUGUGUAGGAUUCUAAGCGUACGUCUACGAUAUUAGAACUAGCAUGUAAACGUUUCGGAGUGAUAAGGAUGAUUUGAAUAUCUAUCAUGAUUGAGGAUCUAAUUUCACCUUAUUCGGUGUAGAUCAAAAUGGUGAGAACAAGAAGUGGAGUUGGAAAUGCUGACGAAAACAGGAAUCAACCACCAGUGAUUGAGCCAAUACCUGUCGUAGCAGCAGCACCUGAGCCAAUAACCAUGGCUGGUGUGCAAUUGAUGAUUCAGACGAUGUUGGAUCGUCAGAUGGAUGAAACUAGACGGUUGCUUCAACAAAAUCGUGAAGAACUGUCGAUUCGUGUGGAAGAGCCUGAACUGAAUGAAGGGCACUCGGAAGGUGGAAACUUCAGUGGGUCUGUUGGUCCAGCCAACCCACCGAUAGUUAGGCAAGAUAACCAUGAUGGAAGGAAUGAUGGAAUGGGAUGCAAGUACAAGGACUUUUUGACUUGUAAACCAUCGACCUUCAAUGGAAAGGAGGAUCCGAUUGGGGUUAUGGAUUGGAUCUCCGAAAUGGAGUUAGCCUUUAUGACAUGUGGCUGUAGAGGCAAGUUGCAGACUAUCUAUGCCGUGCGACAAUUCCGAGGUGGAGCCGUUCGUUGGUGGAACACUCUAGGGAAGACCUUAAGCCCUAAUGAGCCACUGCAAUUGUCAUGGGCAGAGUUCUUGGUGCAGUUCAAGCGCAAGUUCUGCUCGGCUCAAAAUCUGUUGGAGUUGGAGAACAAGUUUUUGACAUUGACGAAGGGUAGCAUGUCAGUGGAUGAGUACACCAAUAACUUCACCGAUAAGAUGGAGUUUGCCUUGCGUAUCGUUCCAGACGAGCUGACAAAGGUGGAUCGGUAUGCGAAGGGACUUCCAUGGGAGUACGAGGUGCCGGUACGUCAGGCACUUACUCUAGAGGCAGCUAUCUGGGCUGCCAAGUCUGUGGAGAACAUGAUCAAGGGGAGAACCACCGUCAAGGUUGAGGUUGGUGAGAAAAGGAAGUUUGAAGGAACAUCUGGUUCCAGUAAGAAGAGCAAAUUUUCGAAAUCUGAUUCGAAAAAGUUUGGAGGAAAAGGAGGCGAAGCAAAGUGGUGUGAUAAGUGUAAGAAAAAGCACUUUGGGAAAUGUAGCGAGGAUGUGACCUGCUACAAGUGUGGAAAGGUUGGACAUUUUGCCAAUGAAUGUCCGAACAACAAAAGGAUGUGUUUUGGGUGUAAUGAAGAGGGGCAUAUUUUGAAAGACUGUCCGAAGAAGAAGGAGGCAGCUAGGCCCAACAUUCCACCAAAGCCGAAGGCGAGAGCCUUCCAGAUGACACUUGAGGCUGCGAAAGAUGAAGCUGAUGUCGCUUCAGGUACCUUUCUCGUAAACGAAUUACCUGCUCAUAUAUUGUUUGAUUCUGGAGCCAACUACUCCUUUAUUUCGCAUGAGUUUGGUAGAAAGCUAGCUUUGCCUGUUGAUAGACUAGAUAAUGCUUUAUUAGUCGAAGUAGCUAGUGGCAAGUUUGUACCUGUUAGCCAUCGUAUGAAAAACGUCUUGAUCGACCUUAAUGGGAAUAAGUUUCUCGAGGAAUUAUUGCCUAUCGAACUAAAUGGUUUCGACAUCGUCUUGGGAAUGGAUUGGCUUAGCGCCAAUGAUGCCGAAAUUUUGUGCAAGAAGAAGAUAGUUAAAGUAAACCCGCCUGGGAAAGAUUCGUUUAUGGUGUAUGGGGACAAACGCAGAGUGAAUUCUGGAAUCAUUUCUCUAAUGAAAGCCAGAAAGUGUUUGACCAAGGGAUGUACAUCAUAUUUAGCAUUCGUGAUUGAUGCUAAGAAAGAAAAGAAGGUGAUGCAGAGCAUUCCAGUGGUGUGUGAUUAUCCGGAAGUAUUUCCCGAGGAUCUUCCUGGAUUACCACCUGAUAGACAAGUGGAGUUCAGAAUAGACUUGUUACCAGGAACCACGCCAAUAGCAAAAGCACCUUAUCGAUUAGCACCGACGGAGAUGAAGGAGCUGAUGAUGCAACUUCAGGAGUUAUUGGACAAAGGUUUCAUUAGACCUAGUUCAUCGCCCUGGGGAGCUCCGGUGUUAUUUGUAAAGAAGAAAGAUGGAAGUAUGAGAAUGUGCAUCGAUUACAGAGAGCUGAACAAGGCAACAAUAAAGAAUAGAUAUCCGUUGCCGAGGAUUGAUGACCUGUUUGAUCAAUUGCAAGGUUCGAGCUAUUUCUCGAAGAUCGAUCUUAGGUCAGGAUAUCAUCAGCUGAAAGUAAGAGAGCAAGAUAUCGAGAAGACUGCAUUCAGAACUAGAUAUGGACACUACGAGUUCUUGGUUAUGUCGUUUGGACUAACCAAUGCUCCAGCAGCGUUCAUGGAUUUGAUGAAUAGGGUUUGUAAUCCUUUCCUUGAUAAAUCCGUGAUAGUGUUCAUAGACGACAUUCUGAUCUACUCGAAAAGCCAGGAGGAGCAUGGCAGACACUUGCGAGAAGUGUUAGAAGUUUUGAAGAAGGAGAAGCUUUAUGCGAAGUUCUCCAAAUGUGAUUUUUGGAUUCGUGAGGUCCAAUUCUUGGGUCACGUGGUCAACCAAGAAGGGAUAAUGGUUGAUCCAGCGAAGAUCGAAGCUGUGACGAAGUGGGAACAACCGAAAAGUCCCACGGAGAUUCGAAGCUUUUUAGGAUUAGCCGGAUAUUACCGAAGGUUUAUCCAAGGCUUUUCUUCGAUUGCUACUCCAUUAACAGCUUUGACCCACAAAGGAGCUACUUAUGCUUGGAGUGAGAAGCAUAAAGAAGCAUUCGAGAAGUUAAAGAAGAAGCUAUGCGAGGCACCGAUACUUUCUCUACCCGAUGGAGUUGAAGACUUCGCUGUUUAUAGCGAUGCGUCUGGUGUUGGAUUGGGUUGUGUUUUGACCCAAAGAGAAAAGGUGAUAGCAUAUGCGUCUCGACAGCUGAAAGAGCAUGAAAAGAAUUACCCGACUCAUGAUUUGGAGUUGGCAGCGGUAGUUUUCGCUCUGAAAAUAUGGAGGCAUUACCUCUAUGGCACGAAGUGCAAACUUUUCACUGAUCAUAAGAGUCUCCAAUACCUCUUUAAUCAGAAAGAAUUGAAUAUGAGGCAACGACGCUGGCUAGAAUUACUUAAAGACUACGACUGCGAGAUACUUUACCACCCCGGUAAAGCUAAUGUUGUUGCUGAUGCUCUCAGUCGGAAAGUCAAUCUUGAAAGGAAGAGGCCAAGAGCGUUGAGAAUUGAAGUUGUCUCGACUAUUGUGGAAAGUAUAAAGAAAGCUCAAGAGGAAGCUUCUGAGAAAAAUGACCGAAAGGAGGAACGUUUGGGUAAAACGUUGGUGUUUGGUACUAACGGUCAUGGACUGAAGGUAUUCCAAGAUCGUAUUUGGGUACCUAAGUCAGGAGGAAUUAGGGAUCUUCUGAUGGAAGAAGCUCACAAAACCAUGUACUCAAUUCAUCCGGGUAGCACUAAAAUGUAUAGGGACCUGAAACCCUACUACUGGUGGCCGACGAUGAAGCUUGAUGUUGCAAAGUAUGUGGCCGAGUGUGUGACUUGUGCGAGAGUCAAGACACAACAUCAGAAACCUUACGGGAGUUUAGAACCAUUGCCUGUGCCUAUGGGUAAGUGGGAAGACAUUGCUAUGGAUUUUGUCACUAAACUGCCCAGAACAAAGAAUGGUCACGACAUGAUUUGGGUGGUCGUUGAUCGAUUCACUAAGAGUGCGCAUUUCAUAGCGGCCAGGGAGAAAUGGUCUAUGGAAAAGCUUGCGAAUUCUUACGUGAAGGAAAUUGUGAGGCUUCACGGUGUUCCGUUAACGAUUGUAUCGGAUCGUGAUAGCCGUUUCACCUCAAGGUUUUGGAAAAGUCUACAAGAGGAAAUGGGUACCAAGUUAUGUUUAAGCACAGCUUACCAUCCGCAGACUGAUGGUCAGAGUGAAAGAACAAUACAAACACUUGAAGAUAUGCUGAGAGCAUGUACCUUGGAAUUCCUAGGUAAUUGGGAUGAACAUUUACCGUUGGUAGAAUUUUCCUAUAAUAAUAGUUUUCACUCGAGCAUUAAGAUGGCACCUUAUCAAGCUUUGUAUGGACAGAAGUGUCGUACGCCGUCUUGUUGGCUUGAGGCUGGGGAAAAGCAGUUUAUGGGACCGGAGAUGGUUCAUCAAACUGCUGAAAAGUUGAAAAUAAUUAGGGAAAGAAUGUUAGCAGCUCAAGAUCGUCAAAAGAGCUAUGCUGACAAGAAGCGAAGACCGAUGACUUUUGAGGUUGGAGAUUCGGUUUUGCUUAAAGUCUCGCCGUGGAAGGGACUUAUAAGAUUUGGUAAAAGGGGAAAGUUGAGUCCAAGGUUUAUUGGACCGUUUAAAGUCCUUCAGAGGAUUGGGAAUCAAGCUUACAAGCUCGAAUUACCCGAAGAACUGAAUGGAAUUCACAACACCUUUCAUGUGUGUUAUUUGAGGAAGUUCACGGGAGAAGUUCCCGAUAUAAUUCCAAUUUCUGAAUUGAGAAUUGAUGAGAACAAAAGGUUGAUUGAAGAACCAGAGGCAAUUGUUGACCGAAAGACUAAGAAGUUGCGACGCAAAAUGGUUGGGUUAGUGCUUGUCCGAUGGAAACACACGAAUGGGCCGAAUCUCACCUGGGAGACGGAGAGUGACAUGUUGAGUCGCUAUCCGCAUUUGUUUGUUGAUGUGUGAUUCCGGGGACGGAAUCAUUCUAAGGUGGAGAGAAUUGUAACGCCUGUGUUUCCGGGCUUGCCAUUUUUAGCAAUGUAAUAGUCUAGGUUAACCUUUGUAACCCGUUUUGAAAUAAUAAGAUUGUAUUAUUUGAGUAUUAUGUGUUUUGUGCUUAAUUGCUUAAUUAUGUGGUUUGAUUAAUUAAGAAUAAAAAUAAGCGUCAAAAUUUAAGUGUAAAAUAAACUUAAUAUCUUUGGUUAAUGUUGUAGUAGUUGAAACGAGGUUUCCGAAUAUAUAUAGAACGCCCAAAUCUGACUUCGUAUGAGGAAGUUAUGAUUUAUCGAAGUUCCGGCUUAGCGAUAUACAGCCUGUUUUACUCGAUUUGAGAUCGAGCGGUUGUUAGCCGAAGCAAUCUAAAUGAGAAUCGAAGAUCUCAUUGUUGGUAUUGAAACGAUAAAAAGUUAGGCGAGAACGGACGUCAAACGAAGAAGUUAUGAAUUUAUAACGAAAGUUUCUGUCCCGGCCUAUUAAAAAUAAUUAAUAAAAAUAAAGUCAAAAUUAGCCGACGGAGUCUAAACGAAAGUCGUAGAGCGUGGUCUCACCUUCGCGUGGAUAUAAAGAACGUCGAAAACGGAGUUCGUAUGAAGAAGUUAUGAAUUUCCGAAGUUUAUUAAUCAUUUUGUAUUUAUUUUUAAUUCAAAAUUCGGAAGCAUUAUCCGAAGGAGUCACCGAUCUGAUCCGAGGUACGCCCCGCGUACUCGAGUACGCCCCGCGUACUCCGAGGGAUGUCGACACUCGCACUCGAGCACUUCGGAUACGUAAGCAAUGACGUUUUGGGCAGUACGCCCCGCGUAACGCAGUACGCCCCGCGUACUCCGAGGCUCCAGCCUCCUAUAAAUAGGAUGCGAGGGUUCCGGGUAUUUUUGCCAAUUCCCUCUCGUUUUCGUGUCGAAGCUCUGUGCAAAAACCCCCGAAGCUACCCCGAAGUCCCGGUAUCAUACUCUAGCCCCGAGGCAAGUCCCGAGAUCCUGAAGAUCCCGAAAAGUGCGGUUCCCGAGUCGAAGCUCUGCCCGCGAGAAGUUCGAUUUUCGAGAAGAUCUUCCAGAUCUGCUGUGGAUUACUACUUCUAUAAGCCGUAGUGCUGUCCGAUCAUCUUCUGAUCAAGUGAGUGUGUAGUUAUUUCUUCUAAUACAAUAAUACGAAGUAUUUUAUAUAAAAAUACGUGCUAUGUGUAUAUAUUUGGUUGUGUUAUGUGUGAAUGAGUAUUCACUCUCUUCUAUCUUAUAGAUCUGCUUAUUUCUUUAUGAGAUAUGUGUUAUGUGUGUGUGUGCCUCAUCUGUUAUGUGAUAUAUGUGUUGAUUAAAGCAUGCUAUACAGGUUUUCUUUAAACUAUGUAUACAAAUGUAUAUUUUUAUCUACUAAUAUGUUGGGUAGAACAUGGGUAGACAGUUGGUGUGUAAUAAACAGAUGAGAGGCCUCGUUGUUGUUUGAUUGAGUCAUCUAGCGGAGUUUAGAUG